UACGGAGGGUGCAAGCGUUACCCGGAAUCACUGGGCGUACAGCGCACGUAGGCGGAUCUUUAAGUCAGGGGUGAAAUCCCGAGGCUCAACCUCGGAACUGCCUUUGAUACUGGGGGAUCUCGAGUCCGGGAGAGGUGAGUGGAACUGCGAGUGUAGAGGUGAAAUUCGUAGAUAUUCGCAAGAACACCAGUGGCGAAGGCGGCUCACUGGCCCGGAACUGACGCUGAGGUGCGAAAGCGUGGGGAGCAAACAGG
rnacentral:rRNA from 1 species